AUAGCUAGCUACAUUUGCUCUGACUAGCUAGCUUGACUUAGCCACAACUUGCUAAGAAAAGACAAACUAGCUGUUUGCAGAUAUAAGAAACACAAACUAAUGGUGUAAUUAUAGAACACGAGUGGAUUUAUAUUAAGAAGCAAAAUGGAAGCAGCAUCAUUGUUAUCAACAUUGUUGCAUAUGCUGCAUUGACCAUGCAGACUGAAUGCAAGUGUCUCAUGGUCGAGCAACAACAAAUGUGCUCCUUGAGUGAGCGGGCGGGGCUAGCUCGUGUGGAAAAAAGGCAUGGAGAGAGAGCAGAGCGAGAUGAUUCAAGUAGCGGAGUAAACUAUAGAAAUGGAUGUUACACACGGCAUAUCACAUUUAACAAACCAAACAUUCAAAUACCGUUAUAGAAGGUAAAGUAAAAACCCAAACCGUGCAUCCGUGCAUCAAUACCCGUAUAUUUUGUAUUUAUUAACGAUCCCCAUUAGCUACUCUUCCUGGGGUCCAAACACACCAAAGCAUCCACAUUACCUAUAAAACAACAUAUAAAACAGUGAACUAUGUUUGCACUGAAUGAGCUAAAGAUAAAACAGUACAUCAUAUAACAUCCCUACACCACAUAUCCACAACACAACAUGUUCAAUACCGCCAUACAACAAUGUGUGCGCAUUCAUGUGUCUGUACCUUCGGGUGUGCAUAUAGUAAAAUACGGUAUACCGCCCAGCCCUACCCCCACAUAAUGACAGUCUCUGUGUUGAGUCAUUCAACUGGUGGUUGAAUGUUAAUAGGGUUCGGAACCCUAACCAUCUGUCAAUGUCUUGUACACAAAUCGGCAACAGACAGCGGAGAUGGUGGGCCAAAAUACGGGCCAGAUUAUCAUGUCAUUUUAAAGUCAUUUCAAUUCACUUGAAUGCAAAAGACACCCUGUGACCCAAAACAUGUGUCCUUAUUUCCCCAAAAUGUUUACAGAUUUAUGCAAGCCUUCCUUCCAGAUACCGGGUUUUAUUGAAUAUGUGCUGGCACUGCUUCACUGGACUCCUGACAGAGGCACCGAGAUGGAUGGCCUCCACCAGCAGCAAGGACCCGCAGUGUCAGGAUUCAGGGAGGGGGGAGCAGUCCACCUGUCAGACCGUGACAUCAGCUGACGCGUGCCACUGACACCUGCAGCACCAGGCAAACACAUGCUGCUGAGAGUUAAGAUGUUUUAGGCUGCAGCCAGGCUGGUCUCCCGAAUGGCGCAGUGGUUUAAGACACUGCAUCUCAGUGCAAGAGGCAUUACUACAGUCCCUGGUUUGAUUCCAGGCUGUAUCACAUCCGGCUGUGAUUGGGAGUCCCAUAGGACAGCGCACAAUUGGACCAUCGUCGUUAGGGUUUGGUCGGGGUAGGCCAUCAUUGUAAAUAAGAAUUUGUUCUUAACUGACAGGUUAAAUAAAACAAACAAAAAAUUACAUUUAAAAAGCCAGGCCUAGGCAAUAUAUUUAUUUAUAUAUAUAUAUUUAUUCCACUGAUGGUGUUUUCAGUUUUUUCUAUGUAAUAUGACCUCUGUUUAAUACAAUAAUUUGACCUUCUCUCGCUCCCUUUCUGUAGGAUGUUUAUAACCCCUCUUUCACCCCUUUCCCUCUCUAAUCUGAUUAUGGGCAUUCAGUGGACUGUUACUAUAGUCAGACGUGAGGGUGAGCCAGGCAGGGUAUCAGCAGCAGUAUUAUAUUUUCAGAAAUGGAAUCAUCAGGAGACGACGUGAAGCAGCCAUUCUUUUCAUAACGUUGCCGAGAGGACAGACACAAUGAUCUCAAUCCAGCCCCCGUAGACAGACCGAGCCUGUCCUUACGGUGUGCGUACAUGCGUUCACUGUUUAUGCUCUAAGUGCGGAGAGCGGCAGGCUUACUGGUGUUGUCCAUGUGAUAUCAGAGCCUUAGUAGGGUAAGACUUUUUGUUCUUAUUUGGGUUUUUGCAUGCUCUGAUUCCAGACUAUUUUUAUUGCACCCAAAAAAGGAAUUCAGAACCCAACGUCAGCCCCAGUGUCCCUAUAUGUAAGUGUGUGUGUGUAGACUAGUCAGCCAGAACAUAAUGGCGACGGAAAGUGUCUGCCUGCCAUGACCUCACGAAGCAGUGAAUGCUAGUGUAACAGCACUCCAGAGCACGUGUGUCAAAUCAAAUCAAAUUUUAUUUGUCACAUACACAUGGUUAGCAGAUGUUAAUGCGAGUGUAGCGAAAUGCUUGUGCUUCUAGUUCCGACAAUGCAGUAAUAAACAGCAAGUAAUCUAACUAACAAUUCCAAAA
rnacentral:lncRNA from 1 species